CAUUUUUGUCAUCAACAGGAUCUAAAUCCAAUACUUCAUUGAGCAAGAACGUGGGCUCUUCAAUCCUGUAACUGGGAGCGCUGUGAGAGUGAUUUUGUCAGCUGCGUGGCUCUAAAGUAUCACUUUCAACUGAAGCAUUUGGAAAAGUUCACUGUGAAAAAUGUAACCAAGAAAUCCUAAGGGAGAAGCUCCAAGAUCAUAGUAAGGAGGAAGAGAAGAAAGAGAAUGGAACCAGGAUGUGGCUUGAGACUUCAGGUGGAAGAGGUGGAGGAUAAUCCUGCAGAGCUGUAUUUAAGGAGGAAGCUGGGAAACCAAGGCAAAGUUCAAAGACAACAUAGUCAGAAGCACAAUUCUGGAGGCCUCCAGUCAGAAGUGGGACCAUGUCAAGGGUCAAGGCUCCAUGAGCAGAAAAGCAGACGAAUAGAAGAGCAGAGGAACAGAAGAAUAGCAGUGUGGCAGAGCAGCGUGGUAGAGAAAGAGGGAAGAGAAGCAGCAUCUGAAUGUUGAGAGGAGUUUGGCUGGGGACAGUCGGAGAGGAGAUUGGCCGCAGGACGACCCAACUCCAGGGGAAGAACAUCUUCCUACUCCAUUCGCUUCCCCACUCCCCAGCCAUUCCACUGAGAGCCACCUCCAUCUGGC